rnacentral:pre_miRNA from 1 species
UUACCUGAAAUUUGUAUGCAGUUGGAACAGUGCCCCUAGCGGCAAACGAAGGCAAAUGUUCCAACUCCAUACAAAUUUGACUUA